rnacentral:rRNA from 1 species
CCUACGGGAGUCAGCAGUAGGGAAUCUUUCACAAUGGGCGAAAGCCUGAUGGAGCAACGCCGCGUGCAGGAUGAAGGCCUUCGGGUUGUAAACUGCUUUUAUAAGCGAGAAAUAUGAUGGUAACUUAUGAAUAAGGAUCGGCUAACUACGUGCCAGCAGCCGCGGUCAUACGUAGGAUCCGAGCAUUAUCCGGAGUGACUGGGUGUAAAGAGUUGCGUAGGUGGCAUAAUAAGUAGCUAGUGAAAUCUGGUGGCUCAACCAUUCAGACUAUUAGCUAAACUGUUAAGCUCGAGACCGUUAGGGGUAACUGGAAUGUCUAGUGUAGGAGUGAAAUCCGUAGAUAUUAGAAGGAACACCAAUAGCGUAGGCAGGUUGCUGGGACGGUUCUGACACUAAGGCACGAAAGCGUAGGGAGCAAACGGGAUUAGAUACCCUAGUAGUC